UGUUUUUCCUCUGUUUUACUUUGAUGAUUGUUAUGUUAUGAAGCUUUUCUUGUAUAAAGCUCAAUUUCUCCAUGACCACGGAAGUAAACAUCCUGAUGCAUUCUUGUCAUGUGAAUGUUGAGAGCGUGUUCAUUUUUGAAAUCUCCUUUCUGACAGACCUAUCCCACGGGAUCAGCUGAGAUGUUAUUUCACUGGAUUAUUUAAUGGAUAGACUUAUUGGGCAUAUAUUUGGAUAUCUCUGUCCUCAACCUGGAAGAUAUGUUUUGUUCCUAACCAUCUAUAAUCCAUUCUCUAUGAAGUGAAGCCUGGCUGCUCUUCCUUUGGAAAUACACAGUUAGUCAAUCAACAUAGAAACACACAAACUUGAAGGAUAUUCUAGUGAGGGCUUAUGGAAAUGAUCUAUGUCUACUCUCAGAAUGGUGAAAGACUAUCAGAUUAUGCAAAGACUAACAGGAUAUCCUCUCUAGGAACACUGAAACAAGAAAAUCAAACAGGAGGUGGAUG